GACGAACGCUGGCGGCGUGCUUAACACAUGCAAGUCGAACGGAAAGGCCCUGCUUUUGUGGGGUGCUCGAGUGGCGAACGGGUGAGUAACACGUGAGUAACCUGCCCUUGACUUUGGGAUAACUUCAGGAAACUGGGGCUAAUACCGGAUAUGAGCUCCUGCUGCAUGGGGGGGGUUGGAAAGUUUCGGCGGUUGGGGAUGGACUCGCGGCUUAUCAGCUUGUUGGUGGGGUAGUGGCUUACCAAGGCUUUGACGGGUAGCCGGCCUGAGAGGGUGACCGGCCACAUUGGGACUGAGAUACGGCCCAGACUCCUACGGGAGGCAGCAGUGGGGAAUAUUGCACAAUGGGCGGAAGCCUGAUGCAGCAACGCCGCGUGCGGGAUGACGGCCUUCGGGUUGUAAACCGCUUUCGCCUGUGACGAAGCGUGAGUGACGGUAACGGGUAAAGAAGCACCGGCUAACUACGUG
rnacentral:rRNA from 1 species